rnacentral:rRNA from 1 species
CACUCCUACGGGAGGCAGCAGUGGGGAAUUUUGGACAAUGGGCGAAAGCCUGAUCCAGCAAUGCCGCGUGAGUGAAGAAGGCCUUCGGGUUGUAAAGCUCUUUUGUCAGGGAAGAAACGGUGAGAGCUAAUAUCUCUUGCUAAUGACGGUACCUGAAGAAUAAGCACCGGCUAACUACGUGCCAGCAGCCGCGGUAAUACGUAGGGUGCAAGCGUUAAUCGGAAUUACUGGGCGUAAAGCGUGCGCAGGCGGUUUUGUAAGUCUGAUGUGAAAUCCCCGGGCUCAACCUGGGAAUUGCAUUGGAGACUGCAAGGCUAGAAUCUGGCAGAGGGGGGUAGAAUUCCACGUGUAGCAGUGAAAUGCGUAGAUAUGUGGAGGAACACCGAUGGCGAAGGCAGCCCCCUGGGUCAAGAUUGACGCUCAUGCACGAAAGCGUGGGGAGCAAACAGGAUUAGAAACCCGUGUAGUCCCAUGAU